ensembl:lncRNA
GCCAUGCGCUGGAACCAACAAAAAGUUUGACAACUUGGCUUCUACCCUUGCCCGCCGAUAUCGGAAGGUAAAGACACCAGUUUUCCCUUAUGCAAAAUGCAUAGCGAUAUUGUAAAAUAAAGCAAAUAAAUGGCAUAUAUCACAAAAAUAUAGAGAACACUUGCCCAGAUAUUCUUUAAUAUAUAUUAAAUAUACGGAUGGUUGCAUGUGUAGUGUCAAUUGUAUUUUUUAGUGUCUUGAUAUAAAAUAUUACAUGUUCAUACCACAUAUAUUGAUAGUCCACGUAUAUACGAAUAUACUGUAUAUUUAAUUAGUGUUGUAUGUGGUUUUCUAAUAGUGAAGGUACUUCACAAUCCUUAUCAACAAUAGUCAAAGUGGUAGGCGUUUUCCUCAUUGUCAUUUAUGUUUGAAGGCCACAAUAGCCCUGCAAUGCCAGUUGCAUAACCUGGAGGCCAUGAAAACGGAAAUGGACGUCUCAGACAAUCAACUGGAGAGGUGGAUCAUUGAUAUCAAUGAGUGGGCAGAAGCAACAACAUCCCCAAAUGAUGCUGAUGUUGCCGCUGUUGCCAGCCGAAUUGAGGAGCUGGUGGCAAGUGUUAAGAGGAGGUCCCAGCGUCUUUACAAGGAUAGUGACGGAUGCAAAGGGACGUGCCCGAAUCCGCCGAAAGAUCAGGGAGGAAAAAUCUUAAAUUCUGUAGUGGAAAAAGUACAACACCUUGGUUCCUAAUGCAGAAAAAAACUGUCAUUGGACACCAUUCUAUCUGACGAGAUUGUUUGGCCAUGGCAGCUUACACACGGUGGUAUGUACACAAUUCCAUUGUCACAUAGUGGGACAAAAAUCUGUCAUGCCUCGAUUUUACACCUGAAAAUCUCUAAAUACUAAUCUCAAAUACAACCGACUUAUGUUUCAUCUAUGUAUUCCAGACUCUGUUGAUCUAAGGACAAAGAGGAAGGCGUUCGACAUUGUGAUGGCAGUAAGGAGACUUGAGGAGGAGAAGAGGAUUCUUAUUGCAGAGAUGAACAAGCAUUGGAAGUCUCUUUGCUCCCGUGCAGACACCCUGAAGCAGAUGUCAUCCAAGCUUUCUAAUGUGACAUCAGGUGAGACUUGGGGCCUGCUUCAAGAUGGUAUCCGAGGUCUACAAAGCUUGACGAUGAAGAACAAGCGAGCAAGCAACAGCCUGGCAAAGCAUGCAAAGAAAUAUUAUGUUCAAGUUCUGACUGAAACAGAAAUUAACUUUGAUAGUGAUUCUGAGGAAUACCAUACCAGUAGUGACUCUGAGCAAGAUUAAACAUGGCCAGAGUCCUUUUUAUGCUGUUGUGUGCUGGGGAGGCAGCAUUAAAGAAGAGGGCCGCUGGGACAGGUUGUUAAGGAAAGCUGGCUCUGUGUUUGGCAUGGAGCUGGAGUUAAUUAUUUAACAAACUGAGGAUAAUUUGCAGUAGCAGUCUUCUGUCAUGCUCAACAUUGAGGAGGUCCUUUGUCCCCAGGGCAUACCAGCAACUCAAUGUCACAGAAAAGGUUAGGGGAGAAAUUGACUUUUCAGCAUGAGUCUCACCCUGCGCCAACCAUUACAUCGCUUUGUCUAUUGUCUAGUAUCCACUAUCCAUUUGACUGUCUUACAGGCUACAUUAGCCCCUCUACACAUUCUGAACUGUGGUUUCAACAUUUACCCCUGUUGGCUUGUAUAAUCUUUUUUUCUUUUUUUAUAUAUAUUUAAGUUUCUGUUUUUUUCUAUCUAUUUUAACUUCUUUGUAUUGUUUUUUUGUUAAGCAAUACUAUUAUGCUCAGACUCUUUUUUUCCAUAGUCAUAUUAAACAUGCACAGCUUUGCACUGAUUAAAUCCCUGCACUGUUUACUUUUUGCACUACCACCACUGCAAAUCACUCUAUAGUUGCCCAUCAUGUAUCACAGGGUCAGUCCCUACCAGGCCUUUGUAAUCACUUGACAUGCUCUUCACUU